rnacentral:rRNA from 1 species
GACGAACGCUGGCGGCGUGCUUAACACAUGCAAGUCGAACGGAAAGGCCCUGCUUUUGUGGGGUGCUCGAGUGGCGAACGGGUGAGUAACACGUGAGUAACCUGCCCUUGACUUUGGGAUAACUUCAGGAAACUGGGGCUAAUACCGGAUAGGAGCUCCUGAUGCAUGGUGGGGGUUGGAAAGUUUCGGCGGUUGUGGAUGGUCUCGCGGCUUAUCAGCUUGUUGGUGGGGUAGUGGCUUACCAAGGCUUUGACGGGUAGCCGGCCUGAGAGGGUGACCGGCCACAUUGGGACUGAGAUACGGCGCAGACGCCAACGGGAGGCAGCAGUGGGGAAUAUUGCACAAUGGGCGGAAGCCUGAUGCAGCAACGCCGCGUGCGGGAUGACGGCCUUCGGGUUGUAAACCGCUUUCGCCUGUGACGAAGCGUGAGUGACGGUAAUGGGUAAAGAAGCACCGGCUAACUACGUG